rnacentral:lncRNA from 1 species
CCCGCGGGCCCAGGAGCUCCUGAGUCGGGGUGACAGCGUCCCGCUGCUGGGAAAGUGGGCGGGGCCGCGCGGGGUAGUCCUAGAUCUGCAGUGUGCGAGUUUGCCGGAUGUGACUGUAACUUCGCUAGCUAAAAUGCUUGAGAGCGGACCCUUCAUCCCUUUGAGCAUGUUUCUUCCUAAAAUGCGCGGAUACCGGGAGAUCAAGAUGAGGGAUGUCAUGUGCCUUGUGAACUGUCACCCGCCGUGCAGUCUCUCUCUAUCCCCCAGGCUGAAGCGCAGUGGCACAAUCUCAGCUGACUGCAACCUCCGCCUCCCGAGUUCAAGCGAUUCUUAUGCCUCAGCCUCCUGAGUAGCUGGGAUUACAGCUGCCUGCCACCACGCCUGGCUAAUUUUUGUAUUUUUAGUAGAGUUGGGGUUUUGCCAUUUUGGCCAGGCUGGUCUCGAACUCCUGACCUCGGGUGAUCCACCCGCCUCGGCCUCCCAAGUACUGGAAUUACAGGCGUGAGCCACCGCACCCGGCCCUCCCCCAACUUAUUUCAGAAUAUUUGAUGCUGUAUUUCCACCAGCCAGAGUUCCCUGAGAGCGGGGGCUACAUCUUGUACCGUAACUGUGAACGAGGCCUAGCAGAGCCUGGUAGAAGUUCCAUGUUUGGUUGAAGGAAUGAAUGUGGUGUGGAUGCCUCUCCUCUUAUCCACUCCUCUCCUCAAUCUGGUUGAUGGGCAGGUGGCGUCCAUUUGUCUGAAGAGGUAAAUGAUAGGAAGAAACUCUAGCCACCACCAUGCACACAGAUUUCCUGACUUCCAACUCAAGUUUCUUUCCUCUUCAUCACACAGGAUAUCUCCAAUUCAUUGCAACUGUUUCAGGAUACCAACUGUUGGGCAGAAGCACAAAUGGGAGCGGGUUGAACCCACUUUCACCUACUGAGCAUAUUCCAUACUGGUCAUCAGAAUGUUUAGAUAGUAUGUUAAUAUGUCAGUUGUUAAGCCUAUGAAGAAUAUAUGUUAAAAGAAGCAAUGUGGCCAGGCAAGCUGGCUCAUGCUUGUAAUCCCAGCGCUUUAAGAGGCUGAGGCAGGAGGAUCCCUUGAGGCCAGGAGUUCAAGACCAGCGUGGGCAACAGGCUUCAAAAAAGAAGAAAUGUAAAAGCAGAGAUGUGAACAAGAGAUAGAGUGCAUCUUUGUUGCUUGGGUGCUCCCCCUGUUGUCCAAUGGCAGAAGCUCCACGUCUUCCUCUGAGGGCUGAAUCUGGUUCUACUUGUGCCCAUUGGAUCCUCUUAUUGAUGAGGGUUACAAAGGCCGAGAUUGGCCUGCCAGAGAGACCCACAGCACCUCUUCAGACUUACUACCUUCUUUCCUUUCCUUCUUUUGACAAAUAUGUAUUGAGCACUCCUAGUCCAGGAAUUGUACCAAAUGCCCAGAAUAUAAAUGAACAAGACAUGGUCCUCAACCACCACCCUAGAGACAGGCAUAAAAAGAACUGACAGUAACAAGCCCCUAAUUUCAUGUAGUAAAUUAUAUCUAAUAAAGUGCCUUCGCUUUUCAUGGAAUCUUCGUAGCAACCAUCUGCAGAAGAGGUAUCAUUAUCCCUGAUGAGAAAUGGAGUCUCAAAGAGUUUAACUUAAAGUGGCUCUCUCUGGGCAAAAACUUCAAAGUUCUUUGGAAAUAAAAUGAGUAAUUCAGUCCCCUACCCUCUAAUUAGAUAGUUUGAUGGGUGUAAAGCUAGAUUAUGCUUGUCAGAACAUACACCAGGGUUUGUCUCUUAGUUACACUGGUCUGAACCCAGGAAUUUCAGGAUAGUGAGGAAUAUAACCAAGCAAAUUACACAGAAAAUGACUGUUCACUUACAGUUAGUUCUGCAUACUGAGAACUCGAGUUCUGAAUGGACUAAAGAUAAAGAAGAAAUACAAGUCUUUAGUUUCGAAUUAGAGAGGUCAUAACUCAGAAUCAAGAAUGCAAGAAUUGUCUUGCAGUAUUUUCUUUUCCCUUUAGCAAACUGCUGCCCAUGAUAUAAAACAGUUACAUCCACUGGAACAAAACAGGAACACUUCUUGUCCCAAAUGCAAACUUUAAUUUAUUUUUAUCUUAUUUUAUUUUAUUUUUGAGACGGAGUCUCGCUCUGUCGCCAGUCGUCAGGCUUGAGUGCAGUGGCGUGAUCUCGGCUCACUGCAACGUCCGCCUCCCAGGUUCAAGUGAUUCUCCUGCCUCAGCCUCCUGUGUAGUUGCCUCAGCAAACUUUAAUUUUCCGUUUUUAUCAUCUGGCUCUCCAGGUAGAAACUACCUUCUUUUCUUUUUGAGAUAGAGUCUCCCUCCAUUGCCCAGGCUGGAGUGCAGUGGCACGAUCUCGACUCACUGCAACCUCUGUCUCGUCUCCCAGGUUCAAGCGAUUCUUGUGCCUCAGCCACCCAAGUAGCUGAGACUACAGGCGCACGCCAUCAUGCCCGGCUAGUUUUUGUAUUUUUUGUAGAGACAUGGUUUUGACAUGUUUCCCCGGUUGGUCUCAAACUCCUGGCCUCAAGUGAUCCACUCGCCUCUGCCUCCCAAAGUGCUAGGAUUACAGGCAUGAGCCACCACGCCCGGCCUGUUGUUGUUUUAAUGUUCUUCCAGUUUUCGUCAAUAACCGCAUAUUUCUUUCGUUCUUUUUUGUUUUGUUUUGUUUUUUGAGACACGGCUAGAGUGCAGUGGCACAAUCACGGCUCACCACAGUCUCCACCUCCUAGGCUCACGAGAUACUCCCACCUCAGCCUCCCCAGUAGCUGAGACUACAGGCUCAUGCCACCAUGCCCAGUUAAUUUUGUUGUUGUUGUACUUUUAGUAGAGACAGUGUUCUGCCCUGUUGCCCAGGCUAGUCACAAACUGCUAGGCUCAAGCAAUCCACACGCCUCAGCCUUCCAAAGUGCUAGGAUUACAAGUGUAAGCCACCAUAUUUCUUUCUUUUUUUUGGAGGCGGGGGCCGGGGAGACAGGGUCUCACUCUGUCGCCCAGGCUGGAGUGCAAUGGCGCGAUCUCAGCUCACCCCAACCUCUGCCUCCCAGGUUCAAGUGAUUCUCCUGCCUCAGCCUCUCAAGUAUCUGGGAUUACAGGCACACACCACUACCACCCAGUUAAUUUUUGUAUUUUUACUAGAGACAGGGUUUCACCAUGUUGUCCAGGCUGGUCUCAAACUCCUGACCACAAAUGACCCACCCGCCUGGGCCUCCCAAAGUACUGUGAGCCACCGUGCCUGGCCCUAGCCACAUAUUUCUUUUGUAAUUCUAAAAAUAUUGUUAUAGAAGUAGGAAAAAAUUUAUCUUGGUUUAUCUCCUGCUGAAAAUGGGCUCUCUCCUGCCUAGGGUUACAGCAAAGUCAAACCUAGAGUCUCUUGAGGCCAGGCAAGGUGGCUUAUGCCUAUAAUCCAGCACUUUGGGGGGCCAAGGUGGGAGGAUUACUUGAGGCCUGGAGUUCAAGACCAGCUUGGGCAACAUAGGCAGACCUCGUCUCUACUAAAAAUAAAUAAAGAAAUAAGUAGUCAGGUGUGGUGAUGUGCACCUGUAGUUCCAGCUACUUGAGAGGCUGAGGAGGGAGAAUUGCUUAAGCCCAGGAGAUGGAGGCUGCAGUGAGCUGUGAUCACACCACUGCACUCCAGCCUGGGCAAGAGAGUGAGCACCCUGUCUCAAAACAACAACAACAACAAACCCUAGAGUUGUUUGUAUGACAGACAAAAUAAUUUUUAAAUGUUUUAUUGAAGUAACAACAUACAAAAAAGUUGUAGAGUAGUACAACCCACUGAAAUUCCACAAACUAACUGGACACUCCCAUCGUAAUCAGCAAUGAGAACAUGGCUAGCAGCCAGGCACAGUGACUCAGGCAUGUAAUCCCAGUAUUUUGGGAGGCCGAAGCAGGCAGAUCACCUGAGGUCAGGAGUUCGAGACCAGCGUGGGCAACAUGGUGAAACCCUGUCCCUACUAAAUACAAAAAUUAGCUGGGCAUGGUGUUGCACGCCUACAGUCCCAGCUACUUGGGAGGCUGAGGCUGGAGAAUGGCUUGAACCCCAGAGGCAGAGGUUGCAGUGAGCUGAGAUUGUGCCACUGCACACAAGCCUGGGUGACAGAGUGAGACUCUCUCUCAAAAAAAAAGGAGUGGGGGGAACAUAUCUAGCACCCCUAGAAGCUUGCCUUAUGUCCUCUUCUAAACCCUCCAGCUUGGGCAACAGAGCAAGACCCUGUAUCUAAAGGAUAGCAGCAUCCUGACUUCUAUCCCUGUAGCUUAGUUUUGCCAGCUUUUAAACUUGAUAUUUAAAUCAUACAGUAUGUACUUGGGCUUCUUUCACUCAGUAUUAUGUUUGUAGAAUUCAUCUAAGUUGUCCUAUGUAAUAAUAGUCCACUCAUUCUUAUUGCUGUAUAGAAUUCCACUGUAUGAAUCUCUGAUUCAUUUAUCUAUCCAAUUGUUGAUGAGCAUUUGGAUAGUUUUCAGCCCGGGGCUGUUAUAAAUAAAGCUAUUACCAACAGCCUCUGGGUGAACAUAUGUUUACUUUUUUUUGUUGUUGUUGUGACAGAGUCUCACUGUGUCACCCAGGCUGGAGUGCAGUGGCACAAUCUUGGCGCACUACAACCUCCACCUCUCAGGUUCAAGCAAUUCUCCUGCCUCAGACUCCCCAGUACCUAGGAUUACAGGUGCGUGCCACCACGCCGGGCCAAUUUUUUUUUUUUUUUUUUUUUUUUGAGAUGGAGUCUGGCUCAGUCGCCCAGACUGGAGUGCAGUGGCGCGAUCUCGGCUCACUGCAACCUCCACCUCCUGGGUUCAAGCAAUUCUUCUGGCUCAGCCUCCUGAGUAGCUGGGACUACAGGCACAUGCCACCACCAAUUUUUGUAUUUUUAGUGGAGAUGGGGUUUCACCGUGUUAGGAUGGUCUUGAUUUCCUGACCUCAUGAUCCACCUGCCUCAGCCUCCCAAAGUGCAGGGAUUACAGGCGGGAGCCACCCCCAGCCGACAACUAAUUUUUAAAAAUUCUUCUGGUGUAGGAUAUUCUCUCUGAUCAACACUGCCCUCAGCCCAUCAUGUAAUUUGCAUGGUUUAUGUGCAUAUAUACCCUCACCGAUAUGUCUAUUUUACACCUCUGUCAGUUUGGCACAUGUUCUGCAAGACGGCAACUUUCUUCCCUUAGGUUUCUGCAGUGUUGGGGAAGGGAUAUAGUCCUCCAAUGUUAACAAGUUAUUCUGGAGAAGAACCAAUGAGUUCACCUGCCUAGGUCAAUCUAAAUCAGGUGUUUUACAUUAAAAAUUUCCCAUUGUUCUUCAGCUUGUUCUUGUGAAAUACUAUUCUACCCUCUGGUCCCAGAACAAAACAGCUGACUCCUCAGAGCACUUGCACCUGCUUCACUACCCAGGGGGACAGAUACCCAGGCUGAGAACUGUAGCUGUGGCAGAACCAUGCUCCCACCAGGGGUAUUCAUGGUUGGAGCUCUCUUAGGAGCUUCGAGAGCUUUCUUCUUCUUCUUCUUUUUUUUUUUUUUUUUGAGACAGGGUCUCACUCUGUCGCCCAGCCUGGAGUACAGUGGUACAAUCUCGGCUCACUGCAGCCUCUGCCUCCUGGGUUCAAGCAAUUCUCCUGCCUCAGCCUCCUGAGUAGCUGGGAUUACAGGCAUGCACCACCACAUUGGGCUAAUUUUUUUGUAUUUUAGUAGAGACGGGGUUUCACCAUGUUGCCCAGGCUGGUCUUGAACUCCUAAGCUCAGACAAUCUGCCUGCCUCGGCCUCCCAAAGUGCUAGGAUUACAAGCGUGAGCCACUGUGCCCGGCCCCCCAAAUAGAUUUUUAAUAAGCGCAUGAAACGAUGAACAUAUUUGUUUCCCAGUUUCCCAACACAUUAUGACUUCUUUGAGGGUAAGGACAAGCUCAUGCCCAUCUCUGGAUUAGCAGCACCUAGCCCAGUGCUUGCAUAUCAGAGUGGCCCAAUAAAUGUUAAAACGCAUACUCUCUGUUUGAAAUGGAUGGAAAGGCUGGGCGUGGUGGCUCACGCUGUAAUCCCAGCACUUUGAGAGGCCGAGGCAGGCGGAUCACCUGAGGUCAGGAGUUCGAGACCAGCCUGGCCAACAUGGUGAAACCCUGACUCUACUAAAAAUACAAAAAUUAGCCAGGCAUGGUGGUGUGUGCCUGUAGUCCCAGCUACUUGGGAGGCUGAGCCAGGAGAAUCGCUUGAGCCCGGGAGGUGGAGGUUGCAGUGAGCCAAGACUGCACCACUGCACUCCAGCCUGGAUGACACAGACUCUGUCGCAAAAAAAAAUAAAAAAUGGAUGGAAAGACUCUACUGGAUAGUUGGCCAAAAGUGGAGUCUAUUACUGAGAAACAAAAUCUUUCCCUGUGGAAUUGAACUGACAGCGUAUAUGUCUAUCAUUAUGGCAGAACGAACCCCAUGCUAUGGAAUGUUCUACAGCAGUAAACGAGGAAAUGAACCACAGUUACAUGGAAAAUGCUCCACACUUUAUUAUUAGUUUAAAAAAAUUGCAAACAAUGUAAUUGUGUAACAUUUUAUGGUUUUAAAAAAGAUAAAAGGCAAACAAGGUGUUGGUUGCAAAAAAUAAAAAAUGUAUAUUAUGAAAAGAUAAAAGCUACAUGUUUCUAGGAUAUCUAUAUGUGUAAAAGAGGGAAAGACCUGGAAACUUAUACACCACACUGACAAUAGCAGGUGCCUCCACAAGAGAGAGUGGGGGUUUGGGUUGGCAUCAAGGAAAUUUGCCUUUGUGUAGAAUGAAUUUUUUAAAGAUUACAUUUGUGUAUUAUUUGUGUAAUUAAAUUCUGUUAAAAUUUUA